CUGCCCAGAACCUUCUUUCUUCAUUCUUCUUUCUUAUUCUUCUUUCUUAUUCUUUUUCCCUUCCUCUCUUCUUCAUUCUUCUUUCUUAUUCUUCCCUUCUUUCGAUCGAUUUCUAGUUGACGGAGCUAGAUUAAAUUGAUGUGAGUAAUUCUUUAAGCUUAGGAGUUAUUUGUAUCGAUGGAGAAGGUGAUGGUGCCGUUGUUGUUUGAUUACAGGAAAAAGAGAAAAAGGUUAAUCUUUAUUAACACCGAUCGAUUCAAAGGAUGAACCAAUAGAAUGUGGAUUUCAAGAUAGGCUUGGCUUGUCAUCAAAUCGUUUCAGUAAUCAGAAGAAAUGGUGCACGUGAAGAUAUCCAUUUUCGUAGCUUAAAGCUUUUACCGCAUUAGAGAUAUUGUGUAUCUUUCGUUUAUGUAUUUUUUUUGUUAAUCUGUAAAAAAACACAUUAUAAUAUUCAUAUCACUCGAGAGAUCUUCAUUUAUACAAUAGCAGAGAGUAUGGGUUUGUUUUUGGGACUAGCUUAUGUAAUUGAGAUUCUUAAAUUCGUUAAUCUAGAUUUGAUGCUUUCAAUUA